rnacentral:rRNA from 1 species
UUGUUGGAGAGUUUGAUCCUGGCUCAGGACGAACGCUGGCGGCGUGCUUAACACAUGCAAGUCGAGCGG